GAUGAACGCUGGCGGUAUGCUUAACACAUGCAAGUCGAACGGUCACUUCGGUGAUAGUGGCGGCCGGGUGAGUCACGCGUGCGAAUCUGUCUUCAGGUCGGGGACAACAGUUAGAAAUGACUGCUAAUACCGGAUGUGCCUUUGGGUGAAAGAUUUAUUGCCUGAAAAAGAGCUCGCGUCAGAUUAGCUAGUAGGUGGUGUAAGAGACUACCUAGGCUCCGAUCUGUAGCUGGUCUGAGAGGACGAUCAGCCACACUGGAACUGAGACACGGUCCAGACUCCUACGGGAGGGAGCAGUGGGUGAUUGUCCGCAAUGGGCGAAAGCCUGACGGAGCAAUACCGCGUGAGGGACGUAGUCUUUUGGGUCGUAAACCUCUAUUCUCAAGGAAGAUGAUGACGGUACUUGAGGAAUAAGCAUCGGCUAACUCUGUG
rnacentral:rRNA from 1 species